GAUGAACGCUGGCGGCGUGCCUAAUACAUGCAAGUCGAGCGAACGGACGCGAAGCUUGCUUCUCUGAUGUUAGCGGCGGACGGGUGAGUAACACGUGGAUAACCUACCUAUAUGACUGGGAUAACUUCGGGACACCGGAGCUAAUGCCGGAUAAUAUUUUGAACCGCAUGGUUCAAAAGUGAAAGACGGUCUUGCUGUCUCUUAUAGAUGGAUCCGCGCUGCAUUAGCUAGUUGGUAAGGUAACGGCUUACCAAGGCAACGAUGCAUAGCCGACCUGAGAGGGUGAUCGGCCACACUGGAACUGAGACACGGUCCAGACUCCUACGGAAGGCACCAGUACGGAAUCUGCCGCAAGGGGCGAAAGCCUGACCAAGCAACGCCGCGUGAGGGAGGAAGGUCUUCGGAUCGUAAAACUCUGUUAUUAGGGAAUAACAUAUGUGUAAGUAACUGUGCACAUCUUGACGGUACCUAAGCAGAAAGCCACGGCUAACUACGUG
rnacentral:rRNA from 1 species